rnacentral:rRNA from 1 species
GAAAGUAAGAAUUUAAUUUUGGUUCCGACUGAACGUUAUUCAGUAGUUUUAAGACAUGCAAAUCUAUUGUUUCAGAAAGUAAAUUUAAUAAAAAUAAAUUGAGAAUAUGAAAUAAGGUGUAAAGGUGAGUAUGGUAAAUAAGAUACCCUAUAGUCUUUGCAAAUCAAAGAUAUUAAACCGUUUGAAGAAAAUAAAAUUUACUUAACAAUUUUAGGAUUAUUCUUGUAUUAUAUUACAAAUAUAGUUGUUUCUAAUAUUACAGCAAAUAAUUAUGUAUAAGACUAAAAAGCAAUAUAUAAUUAGUGAUAUUAUAAAUAAAGGUUUAAGUUAAUAUUAGCUAUUAUACAAUAAAGGAAAUUUUCCGCUACAGGAUUCUAUUUACUUUGAUUAUGAUAGUUGGUAGGGUAAAGGCCUACCAAGUCUACGAUCAAAAGCCAAGCUUGAUAGAGCAAAUGGCCACAUUGGGCGUGAAAUACCCCAAGUAGUAAUGUACUACCAGCAGUCAAGAAUAUUAGUCAAUGCUCGCAAGAGUGAACUAGCUAACUGAAUUCAUAAAUGUGUCAUUUAUGAUAAGGUAAGAGAAAAUAAUGAUAUUAUCUUACUAUUAGUGUCGUCUAAAACUGGUGCCAGAAGACUCGGUAAGGCCAGAGACGCAAACGUUAGUCGUCAUAAUCAGGCGUAAAGAGUUUGUAGGCUGCUUUAAACUUUAUAAAUAUAAGCUAUAUUAAUUUAUGAAACAUUAAAGCUAGAAUCUAAUGGAGGAUAACCUAAACAAUAUUAUAUUUAGUGAUAAAAUACGAAUAAAUAUGAUAGAGUACUAAAGGUGAAAGCUAUUUAUCUAUUAAAGAUUGACGCUGAGAAACGAAGGAGAGGAUCGAAAACAGGAUUAGAUACCCAAUUAUCCCUCUCAGUCAACCAUGAAUGGUAGUUGUUAAUCUAUCUAACUAUUUAUAUUAUUUUUAAUAAUAUAGUUAGUUUUAGAUUUAAAGAUUGGUGACGAUGUUAACACGAUGACCAUUCCGCCUUGUGAGUAAGACUGCAAAGUUGAAAACAAAAAAAUUAGUCGGUCUUGAAGCAAACGAAGUGAAGCAUGUUAUUUAAUACGAUAAUCCGCGUAAAAUCUUACCAGUUCUUGCAUAUAUUCUUUGAAACUUAUCGUUUAAGAAUUAGAAGAAUAAAGUAUUUAAAAUACUGACAGGUGUUGCAUGGCUGUCGUCAGUCCGUGUCGUGAGAAGUUUGGUUAAAUCCGUGAACGGACAGAAUCCCUGGUGUUAAUUUUUACUUAACACACAAUAGUAUUCACAAGAUACUAGUUGGGGCUAAGACAAGUCGUUAUGGCCCUCAUGAACUGGGCUAUAGACGUGCCACAAAAACUUUUACAAAGUGAAGCGAUACUAUUCUUUCUUAGGAAAGAAAUAAAGAGGAGCUAAUCAUUAAAGAAAGUUAAACUAUUAGAUAUGAUGGAUUGUCAUCUGUAACUCGGUGACAUGAAAAAGGAAUUUCGAGUAAUCGUUGAUCAUUACGCAACGGUGAAGCCCGCAUUCAGGAUGAACUAACCGUCUGUCGCUGGGAAGGAGCUUAACUUGAAGGAAACCUGGAUGACUAUUAACUUUUUUACAACAAAUUCUUCUUAACUUAAAGAUAAGAAGAUGUUAAUAAUUAUAUUUUUAUAAUUAUGUAAUACAGUAAUAAAUUUUAUUUAAUAUUGUAUAGUUUAUCAUUAGAUUACUAAAGUUUAGGAAUGUUAUUGUGGCUUUUAAUAAUAUUUGUGCUAUAAUAUUGUGUAUAUUAGUAACUUAAUAUAUAAUUAUAGUACUAAUCUAAUCUUGUAAAAUGUGGAACAUUUGUUUCAUUAUUUUAUUAAACGGUGUUGUUAAGUUAAUUUAAUCCUUGUGAAUUCAUUUAGGUAACAUCUCAAAAGUCAUAGCAAGGUAGCCGUACUGGAAAGUGCUGCUGAAUAAUAAUACGA